rnacentral:rRNA from 1 species
AUUGAACGCUGGCGGCAUGCUUUACACAUGCAAGUCGAACGGUAACAGGGUGCUUGCACCGCUGACGAGUGGCGAACGGGUGAGUAAUGCGUCGGAACGUGCCGAGUAGUGGGGGAUAACGCAGCGAAAGUUGUGCUAAUACCGCAUACGUACUGAGGUAGAAAGUGGGGGACCUUCGGGCCUCACGCUAUUCGAGCGGCCGACGUCUGAUUAGCUAGUAGGUGAGGUAAAGGCUCACCUAGGCGACGAUCAGUAGCGGGUCUGAGAGGAUGAUCCGCCACACUGGGACUGAGACACGGCCCAGACUCCUACGGGAGGCAGCAGUGGGGAAUUUUGGACAAUGGGCGAAAGCCUGAUCCAGCCAUGCCGCGUGUCUGAAGAAGGCCUCGGGUUGUAAAGGACUUUUGUCAGGGAGGAAAUCCCUAGUGCUAGUAACACUGGGGGAUGACAGUACCUGAAGAAUAAGCACCGGCUAACUACGUGCCAGCCGCCGCUGUAA